GAGUUUGAUCCUGGCUCAGGAUUAACGCUGGCGGCAUGCCUAAUACAUGCAAGUCGAACGGAGUAGCAAUACUUAGUGGCGAACGGGUGAGUAACACGUAUCUAAUCUACCAUUUAGUGGGGAAUAACUGUUGGAAACGACAGCUAAUACCGCAUAAUAUUGCUGGAUAAUUUCCAGUAAUGAAAGGAGCUUUCAAGCUCCGCUGAUUGAUGAGGAUGCGGCGCAUUAGCUAGUUGGUAGGGUAAUGGCCUACCAAGGCAAUGAUGCGUAGCCGAUCUGAGAGGAUGAACGGCCACAUUGGGACUGAGACACGGCCCAAACUUCUACGGAAGGCAGCAGUAGGGAAUUUUUCACAAUGGGCGAAAGCCUGAUGGAGCAAUGCCGCGUGACUGAUGAAGGUCUUCGGAUUGUAAAGGUCUGUUGUAAGGGAAGAAAUGGUAAAACAGGAAAUGGUUUUAUCUAUGACGGUACCUUACCAGAAAGCCACGGCUAACUAUGUGCCAGCAGCCGCGGUAAUACAUAGGUGGCAAGCGUUAUCCGGAUUUAUUGUGCGUAAAGGGUGCGUAGACGGUUUUGCAAGUCUGAGGUUAAAUUUAGG
rnacentral:rRNA from 1 species